ACUUCAAAUACCCCCUUAUGGUUUCAUACUUUCUCACUUUAGUACCAUGUGGUUUAAAGUGUAUCAAGUUAGCCUCUGUGGUUUCGCACUUUCUCACUUUAGACUUUGUGGUUUAAAGUGUAUCAAAUUAGUACCCUUUGGUUUCAUUUUUCUCUUUUUAUUAUUCAUUUCACUAAUUUCUUUUGUUAAAUUAGUGACAAAGUUAAAAUUAAAGGAUACUAAAGUUAAUAUUGGAUAAACCUAGGUAGGAUAUCUGAAGUUUUUUGUAUAUAAUUUAACGAAAUAUUAACGGAGGAAAAAAAAUCAGUGACAAAGUUAAAAUUAAAGGAUACUAAAAUAAAUAUUCAAUAAACCUAGGUAGGAUAUCUAAAAUUUUUUUGUAUAUAAUUUAACAAAAUAUUAACAGAGGAGCCGACAAAAAGAAAAAAAUAAAACCACAGCGUACUAAAUUGAUGCACUUUAAACCACAGGGUACUAGAGUAAGAAAGUACGAAACCACAGAGUACUAAAUUGAUACAUUUUAAACCAUAGAGUACUAAAGUGAAAAAAUACGAAAUCACAAGAGUGGUAUUUGAAGUUUUCGCUUUUUU
rnacentral:lncRNA from 1 species